rnacentral:rRNA from 1 species
ACUCAAAGGAAUAGACGGGGGCCCGCACAAGCGGCGGAGCAUGUUGCUUAAUUCGACGCGACGCGAAGAACCUUACCAAGGUUUGACAUGGGCCGUAAACCCGCGGAGACGCGGGGUCCUUCGGGGCGGUUCACAGGUGGUGCAUGGCUGUCGUCAGCUCGUGUCGUGAGAUGUUGGGUUAAGUCCCGCAACGAGCGCAACCCUCGUCCCAUGUUGCCAGCAUUAGGUUGGGGACUCAUGGGAGACUGCCGGGGUCAACUCGGAGGAAGGUGGGGAUGACGUCAAGUCAUCAUGCCCCUUAUGUCUUGGGCUGCAAACAUGCUACAAUGGCCGGUACAGAGCGCUGCGACAUCGUGAGGUGGAGCGAAUCGCGGAAAGCCGGUCUCAGUUCGGAUCGGGGUCUGCAACUCGGCCCCGUGAAGCCGGAGUCGCUAGUAAUCGCGGAUCAGCAACGCCGCGGUGAAUACGUUCCCGGGCCUUGUACACACCGCCCGU